GGUAAAUGUAUUCAUUGAGAAGGGUUCUUCCAAAUUGCUUCGAAGUUUUCUUAAUGAAAAGUAACGCUUGCAGCAAUCAACGGCUUUCUGACGGAUUACAAACCUGGACGGGACCGUGGGGUUGCAUUUAAAGCGCCCCGGGCUCGGCUCCCAAAGUGUCGGAACGGGGUCAGCACGGGGAGCGCGGGGCCGCGGCUCGGGGCGGGGAGCAGCGCAGGAAGGUGGGUGCGUCGAUGCCCUUAACGCCGUGCUGCGCCCAGGGAAAACGAGAGCGCGGCGCCGAGUAAGGGGAAAUCACUAACUCUGUACCCCGGGACCCACCCAAAGCUCCAUUUACAUCAGAAUGGUCAUUGUGCCAGAAUGGUGGGGAGAGCGAAAAUCCCGCGGCUGCAACGGUCCGCCGAGAGGGUCUCAACAGCACCCGAUGGCACCCACAGAAGCUGCCUUUUCCAAGCACAUCCAUACCACCAUGGAGUAACAGCUUUGCUGAAGCCAUCCCAGCCCAAGCAGCACCACAGCAGGUUCCUUUGACUUCCCUUCCCUUCAAUACAAUGGGACCUAAUUCCUGCAACAUUUCUUUUUCUUUUUUCUUGGGGGGGGGGGGAGGGAGGGUGCUGCAAGUUGUUUACUUGAGUAAUAAGCGCACUGUAUGCAUUGUAAGAAUGUGUUCUUGUCAUUGCAGCAGAUUAAUGAAUAUGUGAAUCACAGCUGAGGAGUGCCACUCUCACUGACUUCAUUAUGCAGAAGGUAGUAGGAAACAAAAAGACACGUGUGCUAACUCAUGGGCAGAAGUGCAGCACCAAUUCCAUGCCGCAGGCCAUGCUCUGGCUGACUCUACAUCUGCUCCCCAAGAAGUCAACACAGAUCACGGGCAUCUGAGGCUGCAGAGAGAUGGGGAUGCUGCAUGCACCAGAAGUGAUGUGGAAAAGGAGUUUGGAGAUUUGACAUCCUCCAGACAGGGCAGGUGCAGGGCUGCUAGAGAUGCUGUGUGCCCUCACCAAUGGGAGAAUCAGUGUCCUAUCUGCAUUUGCUCGAUGACAUGCAAAAUGUAAAAGAGCCCAGUUCCAUAUUUCCCAUCCUUCUCAGCAGGACAGUAGGAGAAAGCUGCACUCAGGAAAAGGGCGUGGAGAAUUCCUGGAGAAUUUCUUCCCUGUCACCUAAAUCUUCUCAGAAGACUUAGCUCAUGAGGAAGUUCUUUUUUCAGGUCGCAAGAAGAUAACCAAAACAGCCAAGCGAACCAAGUUCUGUGUCUGUAAGCAUCCCUGCUGUGUGGCUGCGUGGCAGCGCUCCGCUCCUUGGGUGCACAGCACAAUCUGGGGUGCCACAGUGAGUGGCGGGGCCAUCCCAAGCCCGUGCCAAGCACCUUCCUGCUGUGCCAAACCAUCACAGCUUCUGUGUAAAUUCAUUACACCAAGCACACAGCAGCUGUUUAAUUGCAGAGAAUUUAGGACAGGAAGUGAAGAAUAAAUCUGCAUCCAAUUGAAUGUGCA
rnacentral:lncRNA from 1 species